rnacentral:rRNA from 1 species
UACGUAGGGUGCAAGCGUUGUCCGGAAUUAUUGGGCGUAAAGAGCUCGUAGGCGGUCUGUUGCGUCGGCUGUGAAAACCCGAGGCUUAACCUCGGGCCUGCAGCCGAUACGGGCAGGCUAGAGUUCGGCAGGGGAGACUGGAAUUCCUGGUGUAGCGGUGGAAUGCGCAGAUAUCAGGAGGAACACCGGUGGCGAAGGCGGAUCUCUGGGCCAUUACUGACGCUGAGGAGCGAAAGCGUGGGGAGCGAACAGG